rnacentral:rRNA from 1 species
AUGGGGUUUCGAGAUAUACGCUGCUUUAACUUUGCUUUGUUGGCCAAACAAGCUUGGCGACUGAUUGAUAACCCUGACUCUCUUUGUGCAAUGAUUCUCAGGGCAAAAUACUAUCCGGAAGAGGACUUACUUAAUGCCACACUAAAGAAGAAAGCCUUAUAUACCUGGCAAAGUAUCAUGAAAGGUGUGGAGACCUUGAAGUUGGGAUAUAUUUGGAGGGUAGGAGAUGAACACAAAAUAAAGAUUUGGUCAGAAGCAUGGAUACCACAAUCCAACAACGGAAGACCGACACCUCGCGGAGCUAACUUGUUAUCCAUGGUGGCUGAUCUUAUAGACCCAGCAACAGGACAGUGGAACAUGUAAUUGAUUGAGCAGACGUUCUGGCCCAUCGAUGUACCACGCAUCCUGUCGAUACCUCUACCAGCUUUCGAGAUGGAGGAGUUCAUCUCAUGGCAUAUGACAAAAACAGGGACGUUUUCGGUGAAAUCAGCUUAUUAUGUCAUGUGGAAGUCUAAAUAUGAGGCAAGAGGAACCACACAUGGACCUAGUUCCGCAUCACUGAACCGUACCUGGGAUGUUAUGUGGAAAUUGCCUUGCCCUGCCAAAGUAAAAAUAUUCCUCUGA